UAUAAUUUUAAUUUUUAACUCCUGAAAAAUAUCCCAUAAUAUAUUUUUUGUUUAGUUUCCUUUUCUUUCAAUAUACUUUUUAGCUCUAAAAUGGAAGGUGGAAUUAUACAAUCAUUAUAUUAAUUAUUUAUAAUUGGUUUAAUUAAUGAUCAUUAGGUUACCAUAUUAUAAAGUACAGGUUUUCCUCAUCAUCCAUGGGGAUUACAUUUAUGAAAACCCACAUAGUUGGCAAACCUGUGCUUGGGGCCACCAAAGACUUAUGGGAAAAUGGAAGUUAUGUUCCACAGCUACUAUUAUACAACUUACAGGGUAUUUUAUAAAAUUUAUUCAUUUAAUUACUAUUUAUUUAUUUAUAUUGAUAUUCUGUAAUUUUGAUAAAGUGCUGAUAGAUGAUGAUCUUGAUAUAGUAUAAAUGUAGAAGUAAAUGAGGUAGUGUUUCUACAUGAGAGAGUUAGAGAUAAGAGAG
rnacentral:lncRNA from 1 species